UAGCUUUGUCUGUAGAAAAGUAUGUCUUAUUUGUAUUAGUACACAUUGUAGUUUAUGUACUUAAACAAAGUAACCUUCCAGAUAAGUGUAACUCUUAACCUUGCAGUCUUGUAACCUAUUGUAUGGCCCACUUAGUAUAGAGAAUAUGUUUGCAGAACAUAGAAGGUUUCCCCAUGUUUCCAUACUGCCUUUAAUAUUUAAGCGAAGAAGGGAUAUAUGUGUCUUACGGUGGAGAAGGGUAUGAGAAUAGGAAGUUUUUGUAGGAAUUUCCCAUUGUAAUCAUUCCUUAGUAUAUUAUCAAACUACUCAAAUUAAAGAGAGUGAGGACAUGUCUCAGCUAGAAACUUAUAUCAAUUAUACAGAGAAAUAUGAGUUGUGGAAGAAGUAUAAUUAUAGUGAAAUUGAUGGUAUAUUUUCUAACUACAAUGGCUCUUAUUGGAUCUGUGUUAUGAAAGCGAAUUUAUGUUUCCCUUUAUUAACUGGUAUAGUAUCUGCUAUUUGAGUUUUGUAAUUCCAGGUGUUUGUCAGUGAAAGGAAUUAUCUUAUCAGAAAGAAGUGUUUACCUUUAAAGAAAUUUUAUAGUUUUAAUAAUGUUAUGAUUGUAUUCUUUCCUCAUAGAGGAGUGCGAGAGAAUUUAGGUUGCAUAAAAUAAUUAGUAAAUUAGUAGUGUCUAUAUCAGAUGAGACAGCUGAUUCUUUUAAGGUCAUAUUUGGAGAAUUAUAAACAUUACAUAUAGUAGCUUUGUAGAAUAAAGCAACACUAGGUUAUUUUUUUUAGUAGUUCAAAGAGAAAGUGUGAAGAAAUUAAUUUGAAAGAAAAUGUUUUUAUUGCCUGUUUUACUUUUCAUUUUUGUUGCAGGGCAGGCCUUAGCAUAAGUUACUUAGCAUAGCCAUACAGCCUCUUGAUGAAGUCUAGUAGUUUUUACUUGCUUAGUAUUCAUGUUUAAAGUAUCAUGUAAAUUGUAUAGAGAAGCUGUGAGCUAUUCUCUGUAAAAGUAUAAUAAAUAUAUUUAGUUUGUAUUAUAUAUCCACAAUGUUUUUCUGGUUUUAAAUGACAUAGGAUAAGUUAAGCUAUUAAAGGUAAUGGUGAUGCUACAAAAAGGUGAAAUAAGUUUUGUUGGACAUAAUUGUGAUUGUAUCAGGGUGUGUGCUCAUUUUGUGCUGUUUUGUUUCCUUCUUAGACUCCUUCUGACUUGAGUGUCUGCUUGCUGUGAGGACCCACCUGCUUUCCUUGUCUACCCCAUGAACAAACCAUCGUACUUCCAGCAUAUACCAGCAGAUUGACACUUGCAAAGCACACCUACUGCAAAUGGACUAUGGUAUUGAAGCAGAGUGUCUGAGAUUCAGAAACGAUGGUCUCAUGAACCUUACUAUCAACCUGUAGCAAUAUUACUAGGAACAUCAGAAACGAUGGUCUCAUGAACCUUACUAUCAACCUGUAGCAAUAUUACUAGGAACAUGCUACAAGCCUCCCAACAUUAGUGACCCGGAGGAAACUCAACUACUUAUCCAAAUAGCUGAAUAAACUGCUCCCAUCCCACUGAACACACACACAGAUAUUGAAUCACAGUCACCAUACAUCUGUCACAGGAGCAAGCAGUACUAUUGGAUGCAGGAUACAGGAGGGACACUUGAUAGAGGAGCUGGGACGUGGCUGGAUGAGAGGACACAAAAUGUAGCCUUUGAUUCUAAGGAUGCCCCGGUCACAGUAGGACGGGUGAUAACAGCAUGCUGGAGAUAAAACUAUAUGAAAAUUCGAUAAAGCUUGUCAGGUAUAGGAAUAUCUUGAAAUAAAAUAUGAUUAACUGUG